rnacentral:rRNA from 1 species
GACUACAGCCAUACCACCCUGAAUGCACCCGAUCUCAUCUGAUCUCGGAAGCUAAGCAGGGCUGGGCCUGGUUAGUACCUGGAAGGGAGAUUUAUGUGAAGAUGCACAUUUAUGAACAGUAAGGAUGAAGUGA